rnacentral:lncRNA from 1 species
CAGGAAGAACCAAGAAGCCAAUAUUUGGAAUACUGGGGCCAAAUAUUUGCCUUAAAUUCGUUCCCUCAAUAUCAAAAAAAAAAGUAGGUUUCCUUCCUCAUUUAAGUAUCACAUGAUUAGAAUGGGUAUCCUGGAAAGAGCUUGAGUGUCUUUGGAUAAUUAUUAAGGGAAAGCAUGUACUUCUACUUGGUUAUCUGUGGCCUAACCAAAUGAUGUGGAAGUUACUGCUCAGCUAGUGAACCAGGGAGUCUCACGGAUGCCCUGUGCUCUUUGGAAUAAUAGCAUGGGUGGCCUGUGAAAGCCAGAGGGAGGGAAGGCUUGAGCAGUAACAGUUUAUCCCUUGUAAAGAUUCAUAUUAGAGUUUUCUUCUGGUUUCUGCUGUUUUCCCCUAAAAUUCUUUAUAUCUCAGUUGUUUACAGAAAAUGGGCCACAAAGAUGAAUGGCCAAUUUGUUCUCUGAGAAUAGCACCAAAGUGUCCUGUCAUGGUCUGAAAUAGCCACCCUUGCUGAAAUUGUGUGUUUACAGAUAAUGCCUCCCCAUUUGGGCAUUUUUUCUUUCAAAAGUGAAUUAUCAUCAAUAGCUACCUUUAUUCAUAUCUCUUCUCCUCAACCUCAUUCCUAUCCCUAUUGCUGAGUAUCCAAAAUAGAUCUGCUGCUGAAGAAAAAAUUACUUGCUCCCCUGUCUCUUCCCACCAGGCCUGCAGUUUGCCCUCAAACUUAUGUCUAUGCACAAGGCGAGCUGUGUCUUAUGUCCAUUCUCAUACUUUGUAUUAGGGGUCAAUACACUCGGUAAGUGCAUAUCUGAUACAGUAGGAUUCCUACCAGCUUUAAACCCAAGGGCGUAUUGCAGAAGACUGGCCCUUGACUGAUUGGCUUGGGUAACAUUUUUGGCAGUGCUUCUUUCUGGGGUUGUGUUCACAAGACUCUCAGUUUUAUUUCCAAUUAGAUCAAGGUGACCUUCCCCUUCUCCAAGCUGAAUCUCCUGUGAGACUCAUGAAUCCGGUUGAGGUCUAUCACAGCUGUUCUUAAUUAACUCCUAGAGCACCUCCAGUCUUAAAAUAGCUGACAUAAAAAUAAGACUGCACAUGAAGGAAGAACACAAUGGUCAGGCACAUCACUCUACAUUUUUAUCAAAUGAUUUGUGUUAGGACUUGAAACUUGCUUAGUGCUUGACGUUUUGAAUUCAAAGUUAGAUGCAGAAACUGAAAGAAGCUUAAUCACAGAGCAUAGAAUUAGGACCCAUCAUAUUCAAUAUCUGGGAACACUGAGAUCAGGCUGCUUUAGAACUUAGCUCUCAUUUGUCUGGUUAGCCUCCAAGAGAUCACUCUCUCAUGCAGGUGAGGCUGAUAGCAAGACCACUGCCUCCAUCCCAUCUAUUCUUCAAGCCUUAACUCCCCUAGGACUUAAUAACAUCAGCCACGCUUCGGGGGUGAGAGAGAAUGAUCCCCUCCUUUCUGCUUGUCUGCUUGUCUUUCUGUUUCUCUAGGAGAAGGGUAAUUUUACUGCCUACCUUGGGAAACACGAGAGUUGAACAUGAUAACUAUACAUGAUGGAUGAAACCAGCGUUAGGUGCUAUAAAUUUGGAAGUGGAACUUGAUAUUCUGGAGUGAUGUGUGCUCUUUUUGAAAAGAAAACACGUCUGAGUCAUUUUAGAAAGGAUCAUUUCUGCCACCUCUCCAAAAUCCAGACAUAACUUCAAGAUAUUGUGAGUCCAGCUGCAGAUCACUGCAAUAAAGUGCGUAUCUCAGUGAGGUGAGUCACACAAAGUUUUUGGUUUCUCAGGGCAUAUAAAAGUUAUGUUUACACUAUAUUGUGGUCUAUUAAGUGUGCAAUAUCAUUAUGUCUAAAAAAACCAGUGUCAUACCUUUAUUAAACAAUACUUGAUUGUUAAAAAAUGCUAGCCAUAAUUUUUCCAUGCAGGGUUGCCAUAAAAUUUCAAUUUGUAAAAUCACAAUAUCUGUGAAGCACAAUAAAAUGAAGCAAUCCUGUAUUCCCAAAACAAUGGUUAAGUAAAACUGUAAUUUAAAACACUGGAAAUACCACCAAUGGAAGAAGACAUUUUUCCUGUCUUUUAAGUUAGGAAAGAAUAAUACCUCCUAUAUCAGAAUCUUAGAGAAAUGAUGUUUACUCAGGAGCCAUAAUACUGGUGUCUGGCAACAGAAUCCACAUUGUUUUUUCUCAAAAUUAUUAACUUCUUUUUGGCUAUGUCUGCAGCACACAUAAGUUCCAGGGCAAGGGAUUGAACAUGCACUGCACCAGUGACCCAAGCCACAGCAGGGACAAUGCUAGGUCCUUAACCACUGGGCCCCCAGGGAAUUCCCUCAAAAUUUUUCAUUUCAGUGGCCCAUAGAUGUUUUCCCUCCAUGAGAGAACAUACCAGCAUUUUUUUAAAAUUAUUUUUUAUUUUAUUAUUUUUUGCUUUUUUUAGGGCCACGACUGCAGCAAAUGGAAGUGCCCAGGUUAGGGGUCAAAUCAGAGCUACAGCUGCUGACCUGUGCCACAGCCGCAGCAAUGCCAGAUCCAAGCUGCAUCUGCAACCUACACCACAGCUCAUGGCAACACUGGAUCUUUAACCCACUGAGUGAGGCCAGUGAUCAAACCCGCAUCCUCAUAAAUCCUGAUCAGAUUCAUUUCUGCUGCACCAAAAUGAGAACUCCCCCAGUGUUUAUUUUAGAUUCUCUAUUAAUAAGGAGUAGUACCUUGUACAUAAAAAGUGCUUCUAAGAGUUCCCAUGCUCAGCGGAAACAAAUCUGACUAGUAUCCAUGAGGAUGAAGGUUCGAUCCUUGGCCUUGCUCAGUGGGUUAAGGAUCCAGCAUUGCCUUGAGCUAUGGUGUAGGCCAUAGAUGGGGCUGGGAUCCCGCAUUGCUGUGGCUGUGGUGUAGGCCAGCAGCUGCAGAUCUUGAUUCAACCCCUAGCCUAGGAACCUCUAAAAACACCUGCUUCUUGCUUUUCAUGAUAUUUUCACAUGUGCUCUUUAAUUGCUUAUUACAGUAAUAACCCUGUGCCGAGACCAGCUCAUCAGGUAAGGGCUGAAGAAUGGGUGCUGUGAAACUUAAGAAAAAGUUUACAUAAAACAAGACACACAGACAUUUAUCUUAAUUAGAGGUUGGAACUAGGGGACUCAAGGUUUCAGGGAUCAAGAGCGCUGCCUCAAGAAACCACACUGUUUUUAUUGUGCUCUUUAGGAUUAAGUGAGGAGGGGGUUGCAGGUCCAGGUUUAGUUCUUUUAUUAUUUUAAAAAGUCUUUUUAUUAUUUUAAAAGUCACAUAGCUGGUAUGUGAUUAAGCUUUUAUUCUGACCUUUAGGCAUUUAACAAUCAUUAACAUUGAGGAAGCCUGGCAUCAACUAUCUAUACAUAGCAUCUAGAGAAUCACCAUUAUGCUUCUGAAAAGGGCAUACCUAUCUGAGGCAACCCGGAGUGCCUAGGUUUGCACCUUGUUCUCCUUUCCGAUGCAUAUUCUGUUAACGACCACUCAUAAACCCCCUGGGGCCAUGAGGUUCUUCUUUCUCUUAUUUUAACAGGACAUAUCAUGCUGUGCAAACAGCGUGACAAUCUGCACAGGACUGGCUUGCCUAGACCAACACAUUAAGUAAUCAUUCAGCUGACCCUAUGAAUAACUUAUGCCUUUAGGUCUUUGUUCUUAAAUUUAAAUCAUUUACCGGCACUGCGACUGUUUUUCAAGCAGGAAUAUGGGGUAAAGUAAAACAGGACAAGAUGGAGUUAUCCGCAUAGAAAAUAGAAGCAAAGAGGCUACGACAAGAUUGUAGAAACAUGUCUCCUGACAACCCUGUGCUGGUAUUAUUAUUUCAGAAGCCCUACAAGUUUGGGAAAGACAUGCAAAAAAAAAAAAGAAAUGUUGGUUGCGAUUCUCCACCUGGCUUCCUACAGUCCUUUCUUCCCAAUAUUUAAAAGCUAUAAAGGAAGGAAGACUGGUAUUUUAAACACUGAAGUAUUGCUCAAAGAAAAUUCAUUUCUCUGUUAGAAGAGGAUAAUUUGUUCUUCCAAGGUUGUACAAAUGCACCGUCCACUCAGAUUGUAUGGUUUCAAGAGUUUAUACUAUACAGCCUCAUUUUUACCUCUCUCCAGUGCCUACCCUGAGAAGAAAGAAACAUAGUACUGGCCCAAUAAUUCUUGUGACACACAGUGUUUGGAUUUCAGAGUAGGAACAUGGGGAAACAUACGGCCACUCUCUCAACUGUGUGCUUCUAUUACAGAAAUUUGAGUGUUCUUUUAAAGGGAGGUAUGGAUUUGUUUUCCUUGCCAGCAGCCACAGGGUGACUAAUGAUCUACUUAACCUGCAUCGUAGCAGUCAUUAGAGUAAUUUGGAAUUUAACUUUUAUGUACAUAUAUGUGUGUACAUGUCCUACGAGCAUAAAUGAAAUUAUAUACAUGUGUAACAGAUAUUUCUAUGUCCUGUUUCCCCUUCAUUUCUGGCAUCGGGCCUUGUGUAUUCUUAGGGCUCAAUAAGUAUGUGUCAAAUCAAUCAGAAACAAAAUGAAAGAAAUAAAAUCAAUAAGUCUGUCAAUCUGCAAACUUAUCCAUAGUAAACAGUAGAAGCAAUGUUUUUCUUUCAAAAAAGUUUCCAAGCAAAACAAAUCUUGUUUAUGCUCCUUAAUGACUUAGCACUCAACAACUCCCAGCUCAAAAAAUAAACUAAGGUGAAAUAAAACAUUACCUCUGUUAUUACAAAUGUCUUCAGAAUUAUUUGUUCAUCAUAAAUUCAGUUAUGAUUGAAUUUUGUUUUUAUAAACUUUUGAAAAUAUAUUUCAUUUUGCUCCUUGUUCUAAUUAUACUUGUAGUAGGGUGGAAUUCUCUUUCUCAAUUACUUCUUUUUCUCUCUGCCCACUUCUGUAAAAAGACAGAUAUGAUUUUUUUUUAAAAUGCCAUGCUCUGAAGAAUUUAAGGAUCAAAAAUCUUCCUCUGAAGAUUCACAAUAUCAAUCUGAUGUCUUCCAUCAAGGAUGGAGGCAAGAAACUAGCUUAAAACCUUGAUGCUUUGAUGGUGCCUCUCCAAAAUGCAUUCAAGUACAUGAAAUUGGAAUGGGGAUGGGCAGGAAAGAAAGAGAAAAAAGAAGCAGAAUCUCUUCUCCAGAUCCUGAAUCUGGGAUGGCCCCAUGACUUACUUUGAUCAAUAAUAUGUGGCAGAAGUGAUGCAUGUAACUUCUGAGGUCCAGGAGAAUACCAGAGAAUACAGAAUAUCACAUCAUGUGGCUUCCAUAUUUAAUCUUUUGGAACAGUCUUCUGAGACUUCCUAGGAUGAAAGAAAAUGUGAAGGAAAAGGCUGAACCAUCAGCCAGAACCAACUGACACACUUGAGAGUGAAGCCAGCGUGGGACUCCUAGCUCAACUCUGCGAGUGAACCUAGACAAAAUCGGACAUUUCACAAAAAUUUGAGAAAUAAAAAUUGUUAUUGUUUUAAUCCUC